CUAGACACACCCAAAAGCAUUCUUGCAUAGUUUAUACAUAGAGAUGGCCGAUUGAUGAUCGUCUUAUUUGUAGACUUAACGCGAGCAGACUCGAUCGCUUAGUCCUUAUUGAUUUACGACACACAUGCUCACACACACACAUACACACAUCACAAAAUCACACAAAUUGACGGAUAAUGUUGCCGUUCAGCUCCUUCCUGAACCUCACCGCGGCAUUUUUCUGCACCAUAGUGGCCGUGAAAUACCACGAGACGAUGUCAUGGACGGCGACGUGUUGUCCGGUGGCGGCGGAUAGCCCGACCUGAACCUGCUGAGGAACAAAGUCGCUCAAAUCGUACUCAUAGUUGACAUCAAAUGUCUGCGAGCCGGCGGUGACUUUCACGGAGAUCAUCCUUGUGGCUCCGACGUAGUUGAUCCGCGCAGUCACCUGCUGCCCGAGUAUGGAGUUGUCGACCUUCGUCGUGUUGCUGGAUGCCCUAGAGCCGAAGUCGAUGCCGAUGUGGGGAUAGAGCGGAUCCCACGCGCCGUUGACGUAGGUGUCGAUUUCGACGGCGAAGACCGAGGGGCUGUUGCCGUUGGAGCCAAAGAUUCCGAGGUUGGCUCCGUUGGAGCCAGGGGGGAUGGUGGAACCGACGGGGGCAAUGAAGAAGGCGAGGCCGUCGGCAGGCUCGUUGUCGGCGCCCGGGGUGAUGAUGAAGUUCACAGUGGUUUCGAAGUCGACCUGCCCACCGGACUGCGAGAAUUGGACCGGGUUCGAGUGCAAGACGCGGCCGACUUGUGAGGGCUGUGCGUCUGUGAGGCGGAGGAAGGUGGAGUCCGUCGGGAAAUGGGCGCUGCCUUGAUAGAUGAGAUCUUUCGGCUGGUCGCCCCAGAAGUCGUAGGUGAAGGACGUCGUUUGGGACAACGCCGUGUUGGAAACGGCGAGGAGGAGGGCGAUGGAGGCGAGGAGAGGAGUUAAGGUUUGAACAAGCUGGUUGGCCAUGGCUUAAUUGAUUUAGAUUUAGAUUUAGAGAUGUGGUGGAUGAUGGUGGCCAGGUAUCGAUCUCUUGCACCUAUUUAUACUAGUAUGGUUCAUGCCUGUUAAUAAUUGUAUAUAUCAAUCAAUCAUCGUGCAUCUAUCCCAAAUUAUAUGUCUUAUUAUUCACUAAUUAGAUGGAAUAAAUCCUAAUUAGCAAUCUUAAAAUUACACCGCCAAUGAGGCCUUGCUCUAGUGGUAAAGCUGUGGCACCGAAUAACUUUUCUUUGUGAAAGGUCUUGGGUUCAAUCUCGCCUGCAUGCGGUGAUGUUUGUCCAUUUUAGAUGGUGUGGUAUUCUUGCCUGCGUGCGGUGUUGUAUUAUUUAGUCUUAGGCGUUCUUGCCUGUGUGCAUAUCACUGUGUGACAAUUAAAAGAAUGACUUUAAAAUAAAAGUUAAGCCUUAAAAAUUUAAUCUACAUUCAUAUAUAACUGAAAUUACAUGCAUGUCUAAUUUUUUUAAUAUCAUAACAAGAUAAGAUUUAUUAAAUAAUUCAGAUGCAUAAAUAAAAAGUUAAUCUAUAAACACAGUAUAGAUAUAUUAUCAAUGAUAGGCCGUGUAUAAGUCUUAAUCUGUAAAACUAUAUCAUCCCAGCCUUAAACGACUACCAUUCCUGCUUUCCCAGAGCAACCACACUGUUCCCACCCACAAAGCUUUAAGCAGUACAUGCAUGUCUAAAUAUUAUUUAUAAUUAUCAAUAACAAGAUUAAUGAUUCUAUAUCUCUAUGUUUAUACAUAUAUUCACGUAUGACAUAGUAUAUAUUAGCUAUUAAGUUAAAAACUAAUAAAAUACUACAGUUUUGCAUAGGAUAUAUAUUUAAUUAGUAGUAGGAUAGGACACGUGUAUUAAUUUUAAGGGCAAGUAAUCAAACUUUUGAAUGAUUCAUCAUGCUUAAAAAAAAAAAGAGACCUAGAUAGAUGAUUCAUCAGAUUCAAAAACAAGUAUAAAUAGACUUCGAGUUUGAAAUUUUAAUUAAUUUGCAACAACAAUUCAAACUGACUGUAUUAAGGUAAGUAGUUACAGAUUUCAUACACAUUAUAUGAUUUCGCGCACAUACGUAUGUAUAUAUAAAUAUUUUUUAAAAUCAUAUACUCCCUCCGUCCCCAAAAUAAGUUCCUCUUUGGGGACGGCACGGAUUUUAAGGAAAAGUGGUAAAGUGUAUUAAUAGUGGAGAAAAAUAUGUUAUAAUUAGUAUUGGAAGUUGUGAAAAGGUGAAAAAGUGUUAUAAUUAGUAUUGGGAGUGGUGAAAAAGUGAAAAGUAAGAAUAAAUAAAGUAUUAUUAGUGGUGGGGUAGUUGUCCAAAAAUGGAAAAAAAGAAAGAGGAACUUAUUUGGGGGACAUCCCAAAAUGGAAAAAGAGGAACUUAUUUCAGGGACGGAGGGAGUAUUAUAUAAUAAUUAUAUUUAAGUUUUAUAUUAUUCUUUAUAAACUAUUGUUCCAUUCUAUAUAAUUAGGUGUGGCACGACUAGGACGUAACUUUCGAUUGAAUUUCUCAAGUUAAUUUUCAAGUUCAAGUUUCAGGUGUGAGAUUUAUUUAAAUACAUGUCAUGAUUAUUCAUUGUCCAUUUUAAUAGUAUGUGUUUACCAUAUGUGUUAUGACGCAUAUUUUGAGGACAUCGCUAGGAGCCCAUAAAUAGGGUCCAGGACUUCACCGUCCUUGGAUUGCCACAAUGCGAUUUGAGGUUUAUUUUGAGGAUGUCGUCAGGGGCCCGUAAAUAGGGUCCAGGACUUUAAUAGUCAUUGGGUUGCCACAGUGCGAAUAUUGAAGAUAUAUAUGAAGUGACCGUAUGUGUUACCGUUUCAUUAACGUGGACAAUGAUUGCAUGUUUAAGAGACAAUAACCAAUUUUUCAGACAUUUGUGAACAAAAUGAAGCAUGUUUAGAGAUCCUUAAUAAAGGUGUACGAAAUGAUGGAUAAAUAAGUUUGUGAAACAAAUUUCACCAUACCUAACCCCACAAUUAUUUGCGGUCGAAUUUCCUCGUCACAGGAAAAAGAGAUGAUGACAAAAGGGCAAAAAUUAAUUAACAAAGUAGAAGAUGCAUGACAACUGUAAAAGAAAAAUAAUGCUACUAAUUAAAUAGUCCAAACUUCAUACGUUUCAUAUCAUAAGUGGCAGUUCUAUUUUUUUUUUGCGAAAGUGAACAAAAUAACGAAUAAUUUUUAAAGUAAUAGUAAUAAGGAGAUGUGUUUUGACAGAAAACGACAUGAGCGGCCUAAAAAUAAGAGGGAAAAAGAUAAUCAUAUAAAUAUGGGUUAAUUGCCUCUAAAUACACCACCUUUCCUUGAAUUCUACAAUUGCACAUCACCUUUAAAAUCCGCCCUUAAAUACACCACCUUUCCUUGAGUUCUACAAUUGCACAUCACCUUUAAAUCCGCCCCAAAAUACAUCAUCUUUAUAUUUUUUCUGUUUUUGCACAUGACUAAAAAAUUCUCAAGAAAUAAAUUAAAGUGUUAAUUUAUAAAUUUAAAUAUCUUUUUAGCAGCGAAAACAUAAUAAAAUAAAAUUCUUUAUAAAGUUUAAAAUCAUAUAUAUAUAUAUAUAUAUAUAAGUAUUUUCGUAAAGAAAUAAAUUCUCUAAUAAAUUUUUAGAAAGAACUUGAAUUAAAAAAAUAAACAAGUCAUGACAUUAAGAAAAUAAAAUGAAAUUUUUAUUUUAAUAAAUUUCACACGAAUUCGAUAUAAUUUGGAAUUUAGAGUUACAAUAAUCAGAAGUACCACAUGAAUAAUAUAAUGAGUUUGAAAGAAAUUUUUUUUAAAGAGGUUCGACACGCCCAUUCGACUUUCCACGCGCCUCCAAUGUCAUUUACCUGAAAUAUUAANUAUAUAAGUAUUUUUCGUAAAGAAAUAAAUUCUCUAAUAAAUUUUUAGAAAGAACUUGAUUAAAAAAUAAACAAGACAUGACAUUAAGAAAAUAAAAUGAAACUUUUAUUUUAAUAAAUUUCACACGAAUUCGAUAUAAUUUGGAAUUUAGAGUUACAAUAAUAAAAAGAACCACAUAAAUAAUAUAAUCAGUUUGAAAGAAAUAUAUAUAUAUUUUUUUAAAGAGGUUCGACGCGCCCAUUCGACUCUCCACGCGCUACCAAUGUCAUUACCUGAAAUACUAAAUAUGGGAUAAGCAUACAUAAUAUACUUAGUGUGGGAACAUGCAAUUAUUGUCCACGUUAAUAAAAUAGUAACACAUACGAUCAUAACAUUCAAAACGACACAAUUUUGCCAAUAUGGAAGCCACGUCAUUUAAAGUGGUAACACCCUAAUCUAACUAAAGUGUUAAAUAUAAAUUUAAAGCGGAAAUAUAAUAAAAUAAAGUUCUUUAUAAAAAUAAAUAAAGAAUUUUAUUUUAUUAUAUUUCCGCUGCUAAAAAAGAUAUUUAAAAUUUAUAAAUUAACACUUUAAUUUAUUUCUUGAGGAUUUUUAAGUCAUGUGCAAAAACAGAAAAAAAAUAUAAAGGUGAUGUAUUUUGGGGCGGAUUUAGAAUUCAAGGAAAUGUGGUGUAUUUAGGGGCGGAUUUUAAAGGUGAUGUGCAAUUGUAGAAUUCAAGGAAAGGUGGUGUAUUUAGGGGAAAUUAACCCUAUAAAUAUUCAAAAUCAAACGGAUUGGCAUGUAUUCAUCAUUUUUUAUUUUUUAUUUUGAUAAUUUAACAGUAUUAAAUAAAGAAAUUUAUAGGCUGCGUCCCUUACUGCUUGGCUUUUAGAUUAUGUUGUAAUAAUAAAAUUAAAAGCACGUUUACAAUAUAAAAUUAAUUAUGAUAAAUACAAUAUAUUAAUAAUAAAUACUCAAUUACCUCUUAACAUAAUUCGCGCAUCAUGGCUUUUAGCUUAUAUUAUAAAGAUAUAAUAUGUUGUCUAUAAUAAUCGACGGAAGGUAAUAGACAACAUGUUUUACUUCUUGUCUAUAAUAAUAUAGACAGUAGAUCUAGUGUUAUAGAUAACAAUUAAUACGUGUUGUCUAUAUGAUGAUAGACACCAAAAAUCUCUGUUGUCUAUUCUAUGACAAAAAAAUUUAAAAAAAUUCUAAUAUAUUUACAUCCCUGUAUUACAAUACCAAUAUAUAUGAAAAAAUAAAAAUAAUUAAAAAUCAAAUAAUCAAACAAUACUUAUAAACCACUAAUACUCACAAUCAAAUAUUUACACAUCAACAAUUGUAUUAUCUUUAAUUACGCCUUCAUUUAUCUACUAAAAAAAAUCUCUAAUAAAAUCUCUAACUAACUCCGGUCAUCAUCUCUUGAAGGCUUAGAAAAUGUCCAAAUACAGCGGCACAUGCUCAUUAUUGUGUGAGCGAUGAGAACUUUGCGCUGAACCUAUAAAGUAACUAUACUUAACUGGUAAAGUAAUUGUAUCCCGUGAAUCUAAAGGAAGAAUAAACACGUUGAUAGAGUUUGAAAGAAAAGAAUAAAGAGAAUGAAAAUCCAAAGAAUUUGCUUCUUCCGUUGAACAAUCCCUACACAACGUUGAAAUAUCAAUGAAAACAAUGGCUAUCCUAUACUCCCUCCAUCCAUGAAAGAACUUCCUAGGAGGGAGUGACACGGGUUUUAAGAAAAAAUAUUGUUAAGUGUAUUGAGAGUGGAUAAAAGGUAGUUGAGUGUAUUGGGAGUGGUGAAAAUGUGUUAUAGUUAAUAUUGAGAGUUGUGAAAAGUGAAAAGUAAGAGGAUUAUAAGUGGUGGGGUAUAGUCCAAAAAUAGGUAGGAAGUUCUUUUGUGGACGUCCCAAAAAGGAAAGAUAUGAAGUUCUUUCGUGGACGGAGGGAGUAUUAUUUUGCAGCAGCAACCACGUUUAAAAACUCGAUCCCUCUAUUCUUGAAUUUGUGAAAUUUCCGACUGAUUUAUUAGAUUCACCAUUUAUUUCAGUUUAAUUAGUCUAUAUAUAGAUAUUUCUUAUAUUAUUAAAUUGUUAACCUCAUGGUAGAUUUCAAGAUUUGAAAAUUCAACAAAGAGCUUGAGAAUUAUAGAGAUUGGAAGGGGAAGAUGAAACAUAGUUGGGUGAAAUUAGAAACCAAUUAAAGUCAGGAGAUUGAAGAAAAACAUAACUUAAAAACACAAAAUAAGCAAAUCGUAGAUGCAGUAUCUUGCAAGAAAAAGUUCAUAUUCCCAAGGCUAUGAUGAGCACGAAUUAGGGUGUGUCUGCAUUUUAUCCCUCUAAAUGGAGGAAUAAUAAAAUUUUAUGCCUUUAAAUGUUUGCUUUCUUAUCACACAUUCUAAACAAACACCAUUUUUUCUUCCUUAUUUUCACUUCAAUGAGGGAUAAUAUUAUCCCUCCAAUUUUGGUGUGAUAAUAUUAUCCCUCCUACAAGUGAAAAUAAGGAAGAAAAAAUGGUACUCCCUUCGUCCCAAACGAAAUGUCCUGUUUUCCUUUUUGGGCUGUCCCAAACGAAAUGUCCUGUUUCCUUUUUUGGCAAUACACUCUCUCUCUAUACUUAAUAUUUAAAUAAUUUUCACCAACCCACUUUAUCUACUUUAUACACAUUUCUUAAUCUCCGUGCCGAAAAGAAAUGGGACAUUUCGUUUGGGACGGAGGGAGUAUUUGUGUAGGAUGUGGGAUAAGAAAACAAACAUUUAAAGACAUAAAUUUUUGUUAUUCCUCCAUUUAGAGGGAUAAAAAGCAAACACACCUUAGAGUCUAAUUACAAUUUAGGCGCAGGCUGUGUGAGAAUUACUUAGUCGAAUAGGAUCCUUAGUAUUUAUAUUUCUCAUGUUCUUGUGUAUUUUUUCACUGAUUCACUAUUGGAUUAACAAGAAUUAUCUUACUUUAAAAAAAAAAAAGAAAUGAUCUUACUUCAUGUAUGGUAUGCCAACUGUUCGAUAAAGGUCCUUUUAGAAAUAUUCCAUAGAUUACCUUGCAAAGACCACAAAACUAGACACACCCUGCAUAGUUUAUACAUAGGGAUGGCCGAUUGAUGAUCGUCUUAUUUGUAGACUUAACGAGAGCAGACUCGAUCGCUUAGUCCUUACUGAUUUACGACACACAUGCACACAUACACAGAUACACACAUCACAAAAUCACGCAAAUUGACGGAUAAUGUUGCCGGCCAGCUCCUUCCUGCUCCACGCCACGGCAUUUUUCUGCACCAUGGUGGCCGUGAAAUACCACGAGACGAUGUCAUGGGUGGCGACGUGUUGUCCGGUGGCGGCGGAUAGCCCGACCUGAACCUCCUGAGCAACAAAGUAGCUCAAAUCGUACUCAUAGCUGACAUCAAACGUCUGAUUGCCGGCGGUGACUUUGACGGAGAUCAUCCUUGUGGCUCCGACGUAGUUGAUCCGCGCAGUUACCUGCUGCUUGAGUAUGGAGCUGUCGACCGGCGUCGUCUUGCUGGAUACCCUAGAGCCGAAGUCGAUGCCGAUGUGGGGAUAGAGCGGAUCCCACGCGCCGUUGACGUAGGUGUCGAUUUCAACGGCGAAGACCCCGGGGCUGUUGCCGUUGGAGCCAAAGAUUCCGAGAUUGGCUCCGUCGGAGCCAGGGGGGAUGGUGGAGUCGACGGGGGCAAUGAAGAAGGCGAGGCCGUCGGCAGGCUCGUUGUCGGCGCCGGGGGUGAUGAUGAAGUUCACGGUGGUUUCGAAGUCGACCUGCCCAUUGGACAUCCAGAAUUGGACCGGUUCCGAGUACAUGACGCGGCCGACUUGGGACGGUUGUGCGUCUGUGAGGCGGAGGAAGGUGGAGUCCGUCGGGAAAUGGGCGUUGCCUUGAUAGAUGAGAUCUUUCGGCUGGUCGCCCCAGAAGUCGAAGGUGAACGACGUCGUUUGGGACAACGCCGUGUUGGAAACGGCGAGGAGGAGGGCGAUGGAGGCGAGGAGAGGAGUUAAGUUGGCCAUGGCUUAAUAGAUUUAGAUUUAGAGAUGUGGUGGAUGAUGGUGGUAUCGAUCUGUUGCACCUAUUUAUACUAGUAUGGUUCAUGCCUGAUAAUAAUUGUAUCAAUCAAUCAUCGUGCAUCUAUCCCAAAUUAUAUGUCUUAUUAUUCACUAAUUAGAUGGAAUAAAUCCUAAUUUGCAAUCUUAAAAUUAAACCGCCAAUGAGGCCUUGCUCUAGUAGCAAAGCUGUGGCACCCAAUAACUUUUCUUUGUGAAAGGUCUUGGGUUCAAUCUCGCCUGCAUGCGGUGAUGUUUGCCCACUUUAGGUGGUGUGGUAUUCUCGCCUGCGUGCGGUGUUAUAUUGUUUAGUGUUAAGGUCCCACAUGCAGGGCGUUCUUGCAUGUGUGCGUGUCACAACCCAAAACCAUUUAUUUUCUUUACAAAUUUUAUAUGAAAAUUAUUUGAUUUUUAAGUUAUAGAGUUUUCGAUAUAUAUACAUAUAGUGUCAAUUUUAUGUUAACUUAGUCGUGUCCCUAAUUAAAAGAAUGAAUUUGAAAUAAAAGUUAAGCCUUAAAAAUUUAAUCUACAUUCAUAUAUAACUGAAAUUACAUGCAUGUCUAAAUAUUAUUUAUAAUUAUCAAUAACGGGAUUAAUGAUUCUAUAUCUCUAUGUUUAUACAUAUAUUCACGUAUGACAUAGUAUAUAUUAGCUAUUAAGUUAAAUAAAAUACUACAGUUUUGCAUAGGAUAUAUAUUUAAUUAGUAGUAGGAUAGGACACGUGUAUUAAUUUUAAGGGCAAGUAAUCAAACUUUUGAAUGAUUCAUCAUGCUUAAAAAAAAGAGACCUAGAUAGAUGAUUCAUCAGAUUCAAAAACAAGUAUAAAUAGACUUCGAGUUUGAAAUUUUAAUUAAUUUGCAACAACCAUUCAAACUGACUGUAUUAAGGUAAGUAGUUACAGAUUUCAUACACAUUAUAUGAUUUCGCGCACAUACGUAUGUAUAUAUAAAUAUUUUUUAAAAUCAUAUAUUAUAUAAUAAUUAUAUUUAAGUUUUAUAUUAUUCUUUAUAAACUAUUGUUCCAUUCUAUAUAAUUAGGUGUGGCAUGACUAGGACGUAACUUUCGAUUGAAUUUCUCAAGUUAAUCUUCAAGUUCAAGUUUCAGGUGUGGGAUUUAUUUAAAUACAUGUCGUGGUUAUUUAUUAUCCAUUUUAAUAAUAUGUGUUUACCAUAUGUGUUAUGAUGCAUAUUUUGAGGAUAUCGCUAGGGGCCCAUAAAUAGGGUCCAGGACUUCACCGUCCUUGGAUUGCCACAAUGCAAUUUGAGGUUUAUUUUGAGGAUGUCGUCAGGGAUCCGUAAAUAGGGUCCAGGACUUUAAUAGUCCUUGGGUUGCCACAGUGCGAAUAUAUUGAGGAUAUAUAUGAAGUGACCGUAUGUGUUACCGUUUCAUUAACGUGGACAAUGAUUGCUUGUUCUCACACUGAGUGUACUCUGUAUGCUCAUCCCAUAUUUAACGUGGAAGGUCGAUUGACGAAUCAAAUAUUUUGUAUUUAGCUUUACCUAAAUAUGUUAUUUUGAGUAAAGUAUUUUAAAUAAAAAUUUAUUUCAUAAUUUUCUCAUUAAAUAUUUAUUUAUAUUCAUAGCUUUUCCGCACAAAUAUUUAUUUAAAUUUUAAUUAGAUUUGGGUGUCACUGUGCGGUGAUGUUUUUCCACCGUUUCGGUGGUGGUGAGGCCCCACCUGCGUGCACGUUAUAUACUUGAUUAUAUUCAGAUACCUCUUGUAAUUUUUAAAAAAAUAAUCAUAAAAUUAAACCAAAGCAUAUAAAAUUGAAAUUGGCCAAAAAAAUAUAUAAAAAUAAAUAAAAUUAAAAAUGGGAUAUAAAGUGAGACAUUAAAUGUGGUACACUACUGAAUCUCAAUCCAACACGUGGAUGCUACAUUGUACUUGUCGGAAUAUUAGAACUUCUACAAAAUAUUGCUAUUGGAAACGUGAAAUUUUAUUAUGAGAAAACUUAUACCUGACCCCACAGUCGUGGGCACGUGUUAUGUUGCGCGGAAAUUAAAGUGGUGGGGACCGUAAAUGGUAUUUUAGUCUUUUAAUUUAUUUUAGUAUACAAAAGAGUUAAUUUUAAAGAGGCGCUAAAAAACACAUCACUUUUAAAAAUUGGUAUUUAAAAUCUUGAACCCCUUUUAUUAUUUUAGAAAGAUAUUAAUUAAUUGAUAAAUUAAUAAAUUAUUAAUUGAAACAAUUAUUUUAAGCAAAUUUAAUUAUAAUUACCUAAAAAUUUAAAAAACAUAAAUUCAAUACCAUUCAAAUUCAACAAACUAACUUAAAUUUUUACUUUAAAAAAUCUUCAUCAAUCUUGCAAUCUCGGCUUGGACUAUAAAUGUUCAACAAGAGACAAUAACCAAUUUUUCAGACAUUUGUGAACAAAAUGAAGCAUGUUUAGAGAUCCUUAAUAAAGGUGUACGAAAUGAUGGAUAAAUAAGUUUGUGAAAAUUUCACCAUACCUAACCCCACAAUUAUUUGCGAUCGAAUAUCCUCGUCACAGGAAAAAGAGAUGAUGACAAAAGGGAAAAAAAAAUUAACAAAGUAGAAGAUGCAUGACAACUGUCAAGAUAAAUAAUGUUACUAAUUAAAUAAUCCAAACUUUAUACGUUUCAUAUCAUAAGUGGCAGUUCUAUAUUUUUUGCGAAAGUGAACAAAAUAACGAAUAAUUUUUAAAGUAAUAGUAAAAGGAGAUGUGUUUUGACAGAAAACGACAUGAGCGGCCUAAAAAUAAGAGGGAAAAAGAUAAUCAUAUAAAUAUUCAAAAUCAAACGGAUUGGCAUGUAUUCAUCAUUUUUUAUUUUAAUAAUUUAACAGUAUUAAAUCAAGAAAUUUAAAGACCGCGCCCCUUACUGCUUGGCUUUAAGAUUAUGUUACAAUAAUAAAAUUAACAGCACGUUUACAAUAUAAAAUUAAUUAUGAUAAAUGCAAUAUAUUAAUAAUAAAUACUCAAUUACCUCUUAACAUAAUUCGCGCAUCAUGGCUUUUAGCUUAUGUUAUAAAGAUGGAGUAUAAAAUAAUCAUCACCUGUGCAUGAUAUUUCACAAAAUAAUUAAAUAAUAAAAUAAUCAAUCAUAAUGCCAAGACGUGACUCUUGUCGGUCAUAUCUCAUCAACUUUAUCUAUAUAGUACAAUGAUGAUUAAUUUGAGAACGACGAUUAAGACACCAACUAUUCUUGUGGGGACACAUGCAUAUAUAGAAUUAAUAUUAUAAACUCUCUCGGUCCACGAAAUAACUUACUAUUUUUUCUUUUAAGAACGUGAACAAAAAAAAUUCCCAUCGAUAUUUCGGAACUAUACCCCACUACUUUAAAAUACCUCAUUUUACCCUUUCUUUUUCACAAAAACAACAAAUUACUAAUAAUUUUUCACUAUUCCUAAUAUACUGAACAAUUUUUCUCCACUCUCAAAUUUUGUAGCACCGAAUAAAAUUAAAUACUAGUAUUAUUUUUUGUAGAACUAUAAAUAAAUAUUAUUCUCAAAACAUGUACUAUUACUUACUAUUUUUUUUAAAUGUGGGACGACCAAAAAAGGAAAGAUGAAUUCUAAAAGCUGGGACAGAGGAUAUAUUAUUUUUCUUCUUGGUUCUGAAGUAUGAAUAUUAAUUAACAAUUCUUCGUCCACAUCAAGCUCACCUUCACGUAAUUUUUUCUUGAACAACACCGAAAAAUAUAUAAUCCCAACAUAGCAUGAUCAAUCUCAAUGCACCAAACAUAAAUUAGUUUUAAAAUAAUAAUAAGAUUAACUACUAUAUUGCUGAAUUAUGCAGUAGAAUUAAAAGCGUGAUUUUUUUUUAAUAGAGCAGGUUAAUCUAGGCCUACCUGAACCAUCUGACUAUGCAUGAGUUUGAUUUUUCUUCUUGAUCUUUUUUAAUUUUACCGACAAAGAAGAUUUUCACAAAUGAAAAGAAAACGUUCUAGUAACAUACUACAUGCUUACUUCAGAUUUGCAACCAAGUCUAUUGAGGGUUUUAUUUGCUACAUAUAUAAACACAAGGAUUUGGUUUGAUACAAAUUAAGAAUAUUCAACUUUCAUCGGCUCAAGCACAUAGAAUCUCCCCGAGUAGUUAUAACUGGUCAAUGUUUUUGCCGAUAAAAAGGAAAAGGAAAGAAAAAAGAAAGAAGCAAGACGGAGAAAAAGUUGUAGUAAAUGAUUAUGCGAUGAAAAGAAAAUGGAAAAGAGAAAGAAAGAAGAAAGUUGUAGGAAUUUUGAAGAAUUUGUACUUAUUUAGAAUUGUGGUUAUUGUGGGAUCUUGUAUAAUAAUAAUAAUAAUAAUAAUAAUAAUAAUAAUAAUUAUUGGGCCGUUCCACGAAUCUUGGCACAUUUUCAAAUAAGGUAAUAAUUCAUUCUCUCUCUUACUUUAUCACUUUAAUACUUUAUUAACUACAAACUUAAAACACUAAUAUACAAUUCCUUAAUUCCCGUGUCGAAACCAAACGUGUCAAGAUUCGUUGGAUGGAGGGAGUAAUAAUAAUAAUAAUAAUAAUAGUAAUAAUAAUAAUAAUAAUAAUAAUAAUACAUCAUUGCCCUUUAAAAAGUUUUAAAAUAGGAACAUAAUAUGUAAAUCUAAUUUUGUAAAAGAAGCUCUUCUAUAGUAAUAGUUAUAGAUUUGGUGUGGAGGCAUUUGUUUGAGAAUGGGUAAAACAUACCAUUAACCCUUUGAUAUAUGCACGAGACACUUAUUUGUGGAUAGGACAAGAAUUAUUUUGUUGCAUAGGAUCCCUUCCAAAUGUAAUUACUGAUUCACAAUUGGAUUAACAAGAAUUAACUUACUUCAUAUUCAGUAUUCCAACUGUUCGAUAAAAGUUCUUAAUGAAAUCUUCCAUAGAUUACCCAAAUGCAUUGUUUUGCAUAGUCCGUACAUUGAGAUGGUCGAGUAUCUUAUGUCUAGACUUAACGAGAGCAGACUCGAUCGCUUAGUCCUUAUUUAUUUACGACACACACACAUCUCAAAAUCACACAAAUUGACGAAUAAUGUUGCCAGCCAGCUCCUUCCUGUUCCACGCGCCAGCAUUUGUCUUCACCAUGGUGGCUGUGAAAUACCAUGAGAUAAUAUCAUGUUUGGCGACGUAUGGUUGGUUUAGUCCGCUGGCGGCGGAGAGCCCUACCUGAACCUGCUCAGGAAGAAACUCGCCCAAAUUGUACACAUGGCUGACCUCAAACGUCUUCGAGCCGGCGGUGGCACUGACGGUGAUCAUCUUCGUGGCUCCGACGUAGUUGAUCCGCGCAGUCACCUGCUGUCCGACUAUGGCGUCUCCGACAUUCGUCGUGUUGCUGGAUUCCCUAGAUCCGAGGUCGAUGCCGAUGUGGGGAUAGUUCGGAUCCCACGGGCUGUUGAUGAAGGUGUCGAACUCGACGGCGAAGACCGAGGGGCUAUUGCCGUUGGAGCCGAAAAUUCCGAGGUUGGCCCCAACAGCGCCACUGGGGAUGGUGGAGCCGACGGGGGCAAUGAAGAAAGCGAGGCCGUCAGCGGUUUUGCCAUCGGGGCUGGGUGUGAUGAUGAAGUUAAUGGUGGUUUCAAAGUCGACUUGGCCACCGGAUUGGGAGAACUGGACCGGCUUCGAGUACAAGACCCGGCCGACCUGGUAUGUCUCGAAGUCGGUGAGGCGGAGGAAGGUGGAGUCCGAUGGGAAAUGGGCGUGGCCUUGGUAGGUGAGAUCGGUCGGCUGGUCGCCCCAGAAGUCGUAGGUGAAGGACGUUGUUUGGGACCACACCGUGUUGGCAGCGGCGGCAAGGAGAAGGGCGAUGGAGAUUAGGGUUUGUUGAAGGUUGGCCAUCGCUUAAUUGAUUUG
rnacentral:lncRNA from 1 species